UACGAAGGGGGCUAGCGUUGUUCGGAAUUACUGGGCGUAAAGCGCACGUAGGCGGAUUUGUUAGUCAGGGGUGAAAUCCCGGGGCUCAACCUCGGAACUGCCUUUGAUACUGCAAGUCUUGAGUCCGGAAGAGGUGAGUGGAAUUCCUAGUGUAGAGGUGAAAUUCGUAGAUAUUAGGAGGAACACCAGUGGCGAAGGCGGCUCACUGGUCCGGUACUGACGCUGAGGUGCGAAAGCGUGUGGAGCAAACAGG
rnacentral:rRNA from 1 species